GACAGCCGAUAUGGUAGUGCGACUGCCUGCAACGCAGAAGGUUCCGAGUUCGAUUCCCGGUGGGUCA